rnacentral:rRNA from 1 species
UACGUAGGGGGGCAAGCGUUGUCCGGAUUUAUUGGGCGUAAAGAGCGUGUAGGCGGCCGUACAGGUCAGCUGUGAAAACUCGAGGCUCAACCUCGAGACGCCGAUGGAAACCAUCAGACUAGAGUGGCGGUAGGGGUGACUGGAAUUCCCGGUGUAGCGGUAGGAAUGCGUAGAGAUCGGGAAGAACACCAGUGGCGAAGGCGGUCUGCUGGCCGUUGCUGACGCUGAGGCGCGACAGCGUGGGGAGCAAACAGG